rnacentral:rRNA from 1 species
AUACGUAGGGGGCGAGCGUUGUCCGGAAUGAUUGGGCGUAAAGGGCGCGUAGGCGGCCCGGUAAGUCUGGAGUGAAAGUCCUGUUUUUAAGAUGGGAAUUGCUUUGGAUACUGUCGGGCUUGAGUGCAGGAGAGGUAAGUGGAAUUCCCAGUGUAGCGGUGAAAUGCGUAGAGAUUGGGAGGAACACCAGUGGCGAAGGCGACUUACUGGACUGUAACUGACGCUGAGGCGCGAAAGUGUGGGGAGCAAACAGGAUUAGAUACCCUGGUAGUCCACACUGUAAACGAUGAAUGCUAGGUGUAGGGGGUAUCGACCCCUUCUGUGCCGCAGUCAACACGAUAAGCAUUCCGCCUGGGGAGUACGGCCGCAAGGUUGAAACUUAAAGGAAUUGACGGGG